AACAUGUGCACGCAGAACUCAUGGGCCACAACUGGGCCACAUCCAAAUUGGGCCGGAUGUCACACAUCAAGCACGCUCGCAACAUUGAGUUGUACUCAUGAGUCGUAUAAUGAUGUUAUUGUUUCCUUUUCAUUUUCUGCCCAACGGAGAUGUGAAUAGGAAUUGUUAUUAGCAUGAUCAGGUCCCUGCCUCCGCCGCCGCUGUCAUUGCUGGCCCCAUCGAUCCGGUUUGGCUGGGACCUUGCGGGGACGGGGUGCCUGAUCGAGCUUUCUGUUUGGAUUUUGCUUUCCCUUGUGGGGCUCGGUUGCUGGUGCGGUUGCCCAGGAGGAGGACAUGGAUUUGGCAUCGGUGAACGAAGAGCUGGCCGAGAUCGACGGAUAGAAGGGGCAUAUCCUCCGAGCAUUGCAGUAAGGUCAAACCAUUCGACUUGCUGCGACUUUGGUCGCUUGCAAUUUGCUCUUGCUCAAUCAUGUUCUCCACAAAUGCUCGUUAUAUCUCCUUGACGCGUUUUGCGAGUGGAGCACAGCUUUUGAGAUCGAAUUAUUGACAUGUAGAGAGAUGGGUUCCAGAAUCCAAACUACAUUGGAUAUAUAGAGUAUCACUUCAGUUGUAGACAAUGAUAUUACCAUCUCUGGUUGCUUAUAGUUUUGUUCUGAUAAUUCAGUACUUCAGUUUUCAUCUCCAGCUUAUUGCUUCCCAAAUGUGUUUGAUGGAAAAUGAUACUUUUUGUCAAAUGGCACAAAGAGUGACCAUGUACAUGAAUCCCUUCAAGGACCGUGAUUUUUUUAGGUUAGGUCAUUAACUGCUUUCUGAUUUGGGUAAUUGGUUCUUUAAUUUUGGUCUUCUCAUGUGCAACACUAUUAUGGUAAGAUUGCAGGAAACAGAGAUGUUAUCAUGGUAAGUAGUAGCUAUAUUGUUUUAACCUUCUCCAACCUUAUGUUUUUUUUCUUUCUUGCUGUGCUACUUUGCAUAUUAUGUGGAUAUGCAAUUUACCCAUGUCAUAUUCAACCAGCAGAUUUCUUGAGUAUAUGGGAUUGUUGAUCUCAGUGGAAGCCAUUGCCAUGCCUUGUUCCAAUUCCGAGUUCGGAUUUGCCAUUAGAUGCUGAGGCUCUCAAGACAAAUUAAACAAGGUAGAGAGUGCAGUUUGGAUUCCAGGAAUUAUGCCAAUACCUCUUUCCAUGUCUUUAUACCAAUACACCUUUGCAUUCUUGCUCUUAGAUCAGAGAGCUGCCAAGUGCUCUGUGAAUUUGGUACAAGUAUAAAAUUAAUAUCCAUAUAUUCACUAAAUUCUGAAUAUGUAUGUUGUUCCUAAUGUUGUGGCCAUUUUUUUGUUUGCAGAAAUAUAUGAUGAAUUUCUAAAUCCAUCUAUCAAACAUGUGGUAAUAAUUUCAUAAUAUAACAAAAUAUCUUACUUGUACUUGUGUUUGGGUCAAUUCCGAGUGUGUCACCACUCACCAAGGCUUCCAUAUCCCACCACGCAAAGAUUGCUAUGUAUCAAGAUAAUCAAGAUGCGCACACAACAAUUGCUUGAGAAUCAAACAAUGGCAGGAGCUUGAAAACAGGCAAAUGGCUGCAUCUUCAACAAAUGAAUUUGGAAAACAAGUUAUCAUGGAGUUUUUAUCGUAGCAAAUUGAUUGAUUCUAUGAACUUUGUACAUAUAUAUAUGAAAAUUUCCUACAAAGUGCUUGUUUGUUGUUUAAUCAAGCGCAAAUGGCCCUCUAAAUGGUGGUUUUCUUGUGCAUAUGCGCAUGUGGGCAGUUUGGUUUACGUGUGGAUUUUAAAACUAUUAUGCAGAGGUUUGUGUGUGGAUAUUAAUAAGUCUAAUAUUGUGUUA